AUUGAACGCUGGCGGCAGGCCUAACACAUGCAAGUCGAACGAGUGGCGGACGGGUGAGUAAUGUCUGGGAAACUGCCUGAUGGAGGGGGAUAACUACUGGAAACGGUAGCUAAUACCGCAUACCAUCAGAUGUGCCCAGAUGGGAUUAGCUAGUUGGUGGGGUAACGGAUCACCAAGGCGACGAUCCCUAGCUGGUCUGAGAGGAUGACCAGCCACAACGGAACUGAGACACGGUCCAGACUCCGACGGGAGGCAGCAGUUGGGAAUAUUUCUCAAGGGGCGCAAGCCUGAUGCAGCAAUGCCGCGUGUAUUAAGAAGGCCUUCGGGUUGUAAAGUACUUUCAGCGGGGAGGCGUUACCCGCAGAAUAAGCACCGGCUAACCCCCUGCCAGCAGCGGCGGUAAUAC
rnacentral:rRNA from 1 species